AUUGGAGGGUCACAACUCAUGGGAGCUACCUGGCUAAUAAGCCACUGAGCAACACACCUGAGGGACACCAGUGGUGCAAAGGUGGAAAGUUGAGCUGGAGACAUUGAGGGCACAACUAAGCAGAAGGCUGCUUUAAAAAAGACAGUGCUGAAGCUUUUAAAGGACAUGUUCAGCUAGCACAUGCAGAGCUCCAAAAACCCCUCAAGCUUGGAUUUUGUAAAGUUUCCCUACAGGACUAAUGGAUCUACUGAGGAUGACAUGGCCACAGCCCUCCAUGCUGCACUGUCCCACCUGGAACAGCAGGGUAGCUAGGCCCGGCUGCUUUUAACACCAUCCCCACAGAUUGGUGUCCAAAAUCUGAUAUUGGAAUACCACACUCCACCUGCCUCUGGAUUAAGGACUUUCUGACAGACCGCAGUCAGAGGGUGAGAGCGGGCCUCCAUACAUCUACGGCCCUCAGCCUGGGCUCCCCGCAGGGCUGCAUGCUGAUUCCCCUGCUCUAUACCCUCUACACCCACGACUGCACCCCUGCUCUCCACAGGAACACUUUUAUCAAAUUUGCUGAAGACACCACGGUUGUGGCACUCAUCACGAGCAGGGAUGUAUUUAAACUACAUAGAUGAGGUGGAGCGUUUGGCAGGGUGGUGCAACUCCUCAACACAUCUAAGACAAAAGAGCUAAUCGUGGACUUCAGGAGAAAGAAAAUGGACGUCCAGCUGCUAUUCGUAGGCGGGGCCUGUGUAGAGAGGGUCUCUGACUUCAGCUUCUUUGGAGUCAACAUCAUGGAACCUGACCUGGGGCAGCCACACUACUGAGCUAGUGACAAAGGUCCAGCAGAGACUCUACUUUCUAAAAGUUCUCAGGAGGAA